CUGGUGGGAGUGUCUUAUGCUAAUGAGCAGCAAGGGUAAAUAGAGGUUGCCUUUGGCACCAUCUGCUGGUUUCUUUACUUCAUCCUGGGACCAGGAAGUAAGUCCUGCUGGUCUCCUAUGUCGCCUCCGCAGGCAUAGACAGAAAUGGGAACUUCUCUUUUGCUCCCCACAAAACAACCAGAGCAUGGAACAUAUGAAGUAAAGAAUAAUAUUUAUUGAAUGAAGAAAUGAAUUAGAGAUGCUUAACCGGCUGGAAGCACAGAGGAAGCGCAGGAGAACGAAGCAAGUCACCCGG
rnacentral:lncRNA from 1 species